UAUAUAAAAACUCCCAACAAAAACAAGCUACUUCCUUCACUCGCAGUGAAAGCUUUGCCCCCAACUUAUAAGGUUCGGAUCUCAUCUGCAAUUUCGCUCUAUUGUUGUGUUGUGAUCUGGCUACCAAGAGAGAAAUUCACAAGUUUUGCGGCGAAAUCGAGCACAUCUAGAUCUAUCGUGAUUCUUGAAGAAAGAAGACUGCAUUCGUGACAUUAAAAGCUCUUGAAAUUGCACUAUGAUGAAAUUACAACAUCAGCAAGGGAGGUACGAACGAUCUCAAGGGUGGUCUAGAGGAGAUCUAAAGUAA
rnacentral:lncRNA from 1 species